CGGAGGGGUUAGCGUUGUUCGGAAUGACUGGGCGUAAAAGACGCGCGUAGGCGGAUCGGAUAGUUGGGGGUGGAAAGCCCAGGGCUCAACCCUGGAAUUGCCUUCAAAACUACCCGGUCUGGAGUUCGAGAGAGGUGGGUGGAAUUCCGAGUGUAGAGGUGAAAUUCGUAGAUAUUCGGAGGAACACCAGUGGCGAAGGCGGCCCCACUGGCUCGGCACUGACGCUGAGGCGCGAAAGCGCGGGGAGCAAACAGGAUU
rnacentral:rRNA from 1 species